rnacentral:rRNA from 1 species
CGCGUGACGUCGGGGCCAGUCGUUUGGAAGAGGGGUGGGGGUGGGGGGGCGGGGCGGCGCCCUCGCGAGGCGCCGGCGGUACCGCAGAGGAGGCCCGGGCCCCAGACGGUUGGCGCGCGAGAGGAGGAGUAGCUCCCCCGGCGAGAGCGGGAAGGGGCCGCCGCGCCCGGGCAAGGAGGCCGUAGUUGUAGGAGGGCCGCCGCUGAGGCUGCCGCCGCGGAGCAAGCUGCUUCUACUGCUGCUGCUACUGCUCCUCCUCCUCCUACCCCUCCUAGUCCUGCGGCUCGACCGCCGGGCGUCGAGCGUCGUCGCUGCGCGGCGGAGAGGUCGUUCUUAGCCCGCCGGACACCACUUACCCCUCUUACCUCCCUCAGUUUAGGUCCUUCCCGUCGUUACCGUCGACAUGUCGACACCUUGGCUCGUCGUACUGGCGCGAAGCAGAUCUCCCCUGCUUCUUGGACCAAGACAAGGGUCCCUCUACUCCCACCUCCUACCUAUACCCCAAUAACCCUCUUCUCUCCCUCCGGGACGUAGAUCGAUGACCCUGGACGAGUCUCGCGUGGAAAGCCUGGGCAACUGUCCAUAAGAGUACCUGCUGCGUUACUAAGAAAGUACACCGGUAAGAAUACCUUCAUCACCCUACGUCGUAUAGAUGUCUUACUUUCGAACACCAUUUACACCAGUCGGUUAGUGGCUCUUGAGGUAAGCUGGUUUGGACCGAGAACCGGAACGUCAGGUCCGUAAAUCUGCUCUCCUUCUCAGCCGUUUUUGCAACUUUUCUUUUUCUCUGGCGGACCUUGUCCUGUUUACACCGUUGCUACUGGGCCCAGGUCGACUCCAAAGUUCUCCGUUUCCACAGGUCAUAGGAAAGCGACAGAAGCUGGCCCACUAUUAGUUCCCUUUGUUCUCCUGGGGCCUCGCCAAGCACCCCGCGCAGCGCCACCACUGCCGAGUCACGAACUUACCUACCAUGCACCACUUCUGGGACCUGUUGCGCCUCUCGCACUUCGACGUCAUGGCAAGCGACCGCUUCAAGCAGCUGCCGCCGCCGCCGCUCGGAGGACGGCACCGGAGGUUGUCAAGGGUCUUGUGUUCGACCAACACUGAACCUUCCAUGUUUUCGUCUAGUACGACUCGUGUUCGUGUCUUAGUCUAGAGGUCCGGGGGUAGAAAACGACAAAGGUCCUCCUCCGUUUGUCAUCUCACUCCUUGUAAUAGGAAAAAACCAUCGGUUAGUGUCACAGUUAGAAAUACCACGAGGAGAAAGGAAAGGAAAAAGAAAAACACCGUCGUUGAUCCAUGGUACACCACAGUCAGUCACAGGAACACUACACUCCGAAACAUCUUACGAUGGUAAGGUCAUGUGGGAAUAGGUCCGACGACACUAUUUAGUCCUUCGUUAGUACCACGGUGGUUUCCCGUUGGUGGUUGUGUUUUCAAACCACUUUGUUCGUAAGUCCUAUUUACCAAGAAAAGAAAAAUUCAUUCUUGUUGUAACACAACUAUUUUCGCGGUAAAUAACCCUUUGUUG